UGGAUAGCUCAGCUGGUAAAGCAUGGGGCUCUUAAUCUCAGGGUCGUGGGUUCAAGCCCCACAUGGGGCAGAAAAA